UGCUCAUUUGCUUGUCUAUGGUGACAACAGAUUAGAUUAACUUAAUUUGCCACGGAUACACCAAAACAGUGGAAAAUACAGUCAAAUACGUCGUCUGAGGACGUGGUGGAGGUAGCUUUCACGUGUCUCCAUGUUCUGCACCAACAUAACAGAACCGUGAUUUACUAACCCUACCUUGGAAUGCGGGAGGAAACUGAAGCACGCAGGCAUGCUUCCUAUCUGAACUUGUCUUAAGUCAUAUCACUUUCUCGUCAGUGGUGAGAGUUCAGUGCUUCAGGUGAUCGAUUUCAGCACCUGUGUUGCAAGAUGUCAGGUAUCUGCAUUUUAUUGGGAAUAUUGAGAAAGAGUGGGACCUUGGUGUAGAAGUCAGCAAUCCCUGAAGAUGGCAGCAGAGGGUUCUUUUGAAGACCCUGACCUGGAGUAAAAAGCUGACCAUGGUUCCUUGGGAGGAUGGGACCCGCUCUUGGGGUUUCACAACUGGCUGUUAUUUGGCAUGCCAAAGGAAGAGUUCAGCUCGCCUUCGGAGGGCUGAGAUCUCAUGGCUCUGGAGAUUGGUGUGUCGUGGGAGUCAGACUAUCUCUGGCUGUGUGGUGAACUAUGUGCCUGUCUGGACAUGCCCCCUGCUGACUGCUCCUGUGGCUCCUCCCACCGGCCCCUGUAUAAAGGCGAUCUGAGGCCUGACGCUCGGCCUCAGUCUCCAGGUCAUAGUAUGAUGGACACUCACUCCUGGUUCCUUCUUCCAGUCAAUAAAAGCCGAUA